UGCUGCAUUAUCUUAAUUUUAGGGGUCCAAUAGGUUUUGUGGCACCGGAUACAUUUUAUUAGUGUAAUGGCUCUUAUGAUAGUGAAGGUUGCUGCCCCCUGGUGCUCGGUAUCAGGUAAAGGAAGAACAGAAAGUCUGUUCGGAGAAAUGUAGAGGCCAGCUCCAUGGAUGAUAGGUAGGCCAUUGAACUCUCUCUCGCGUGAUAAUUAACCUGACAACAGGAAUGUUGUGUCGUGGAACAUGACACUAUUAAUAGCAGUUGGGUGGAGAGCGGCAGACACCGCCCACACACAAGGAAGUGAGAGUUUGCCUCGGUGUUUGAUUACAAUAACACAAUAUGGUAAUUAUUAAUGUUAGCGUUUGAGAACACCAGCGAGACCAAUAACACCACUAAUUCAAGAUGGUUUAUAUAAUCAGCUUCUCUCUUGAUCUCAAACUGUAAACUUCAACAGUUAAGACAGGAAAAACAGGAUAACUUAUUAAUUGGAAAAUAUGUACACAAACUAAUGUAUACCAGACACACUAACUUUAACCUUGGAAGCCAAGUAAAAACUGUUUGUGAGUUGGAAAUGCAGAUGUGCUGAAUCCAAUGCAUAUUUUAUACUCGAAGUGCAGGUAUGAAAUAUGUAUAUGGUAUGCUCUCAGGGUCAGAGCAGCCCCUUGUGAUUGGUUGUUUGUGUCUGAGACACGCGCAUGCGCACAGACGCACCACUGUCAUUUGCCCACACCUUUCCCCCUUGCCACCACCAGGUGGUGCUGCUGCGCAACAUUCUUUUUUUUCUGGCUCAAAGUUUUUAAUUUUGGGUUUCAUGCAGUCGCCGAGAGGAAUGAUGCUUCAUUUGAUCCUCGUCGUGGACUCUAUGAGAAGUCAGCUGUGUAGCAACAAGUUGGAAAAUCCGUCAAAGACUGAAAAAAACAAACGAUUUUUCUGUUAUAUUAUCAGGGCAACUGGGAGCUGUUGCAUUCAGUAGCAUGUUUUUUGUUCUUUAAACUUUUUUUAACAGAAGGACCUAUUCAACCUACGGUGCAAUUUUUCCAGCUCGGAUGGGAAACUCCUAACAUGCACAAUUAAACAUUUAACAUUUAAUUUGCGCGUUGUAGUUGUUGUUUAAAAAUCCAAAACGAUGCACUUUUCCCUCGUGGUGGUUGUGUUGUUUUGCGCGCAACACCACCCCACCGCAGCGGUCCCCAAACCCAGCAAGUGUUCCCCCCGUUGUGACGUCACUAAGUGCCCCAGUCCCAUCUGUCUCGGCGGCUACGUGCCGGACCACUGUAACUGCUGCCUGGUCUGCGUCCGGGCGGAGGGGGACGCCUGCGGCGCAAAAAACGACCCUCCCUGCGGACAGGGGCUGGAGUGUAAACUGCUCUCUAGUCCGGUGAAGCGGCCGGCCUCGAAGCGGACGUGCCAGUGUAAGACGACCCACAGGGUGUGUGGCAGUGAUGGGAAGACGUAUGGCAACGUGUGCAAGCUGAGAGCAGCCAGCCGUAAGGUGAUCCAGAAGGGACUGCCCGCUGUCACACGGAUCAACAAGGGACCCUGUCUUCCGUCGGACACAGGUCGUGUGGCCCUCCACCCCAACAGCGCCCGCUACCGCUUCAACUUCAUCGCCGACGUGGUGGAGAAGAUCGCGCCGGCCGUCGUCCACAUCGAGCUCUACCUGCGACACCCUCUGUACGGGCGUAACGUCCCUCUGUCCAGCGGCUCUGGGUUCGUGAUGACCCAGUCGGGGCUGAUCGUCACCAACGCCCACGUGGUCACGCCCGCUGCCACGGUAACCGGGCGGCCCCACGUGCGCGUGCGUCUGCACAGCGGGGAGGCCUACGAGGCGACAAUCAGGGACCUGGACAGGAAGUCCGACAUCGCCACCAUCAAGGUCACCGCAGAGAAGAAGCUCCCGGUCCUGUCUCUGGGCCGAUCGGCCGACGUCCGGCCCGGUGAGUUUGUGGUCGCCAUCGGCAGUCCCUUCGCGCUGCAGAACACCGUCACCACGGGGAUAGUGAGCACCACCCAGCGCGACGGCAAGGAGCUGGGCAUACGGGACUCGGACAUCGACUACAUCCAGACGGACGCCAUUAUAAACUAUGGGAACUCUGGAGGACCGCUGGUGAACUUGGAUGGCGAGGUGAUAGGCAUCAACACUCUGAAAGUCACAGCAGGGAUCUCAUUCGCCAUUCCUGCCGACCGCAUCAAACGCUUCCUUACUGAGUCCCAGAACAAGAACAAAGGCCAGACUUCAAAGAGUGCUCUACCAACAAACACAGAAACCCCAAUCUGACACAGAAGCAAAGAGACGCAUCCUCGGAAUCCAAAUGCUCACUCUGACGGAAGCGCUCAAAGCGGAGCUGAAGUUCAGUAACCCGGACUUCCCUGACAUCAGUGGAGGGGUUCUGGUCCACCAGGUGGUCCCAGGCUCUCCUGCUGCCGCGAGCGGCAUCCAGAUCGGCGACGUCAUCGUCCAGCUGAACGGCCGGCCGCUGCUGACGGCCGACGGCCUGCACGCCGCGUUGCUAGGCGACAAGCCCCUCCUCC